rnacentral:rRNA from 1 species
AUUGAACGCUGGCGGCAAGCCUAACACAUGCAAGUCGAACGAGUGGCGGACGGGUGAGUAAUGUCUGGGAAACUGCCUGAUGGAGGGGGAUAACUACUGGAAACGGUAGCUAAUACCGCAUACCAUCGGAUGUGCCCAGAUGGGAUUAUCUAGUAGGUGGGGUAAAGGCUCACCUAGUCGACGAUCCCUAGCUGGUCUGAGAGGAUGACCAGCCACACUGGAGCUGAGACACGGUCCGGACUCCGAAGGGAGGCAGCAGUGGGGAAUAUUGCACAAUGGGCGCAAGCCUGAUGCAGCCAUGCCGCGUGUAUGAAGAAGGCCUUCGGGUUGUAAAGUACUUUCAGCGGGGAAGCGUUACCCACAGAAGAAGCAACGGCUAACUCCGUGCCAGCCGCCGCGGUAAUAC